UCCGACCCUUUUGGGUUUAGAUAAGCCUCGCGAGUUGAAUGGGAUACCUAAAGUUCCCUAGCAAACUGCUCAGUAACACAUGAUCAACUUACCCUAUAGAGAAAAAUAACCUCGGGAAACUGAGGAUAAUGUUUCAUAAUUGAAUUGGCUUGGAAAAGUUUUUCAAUGAAAGGGAUAAAAAAAAUGGUUUUUAUCUGCUAUAGGAUAGGAUCUGUGUUCUGAUUAUGGUUGUUGGUGAGAUAAUGGCUCACCAAGCCGAUAAUCGAUAGGGGCCGUGAGAGCUGGGAGCCCCGAGAUGGGUACAUGAGACAACGACCCAGGCCUUACGAGGCUGCAGCAGGCGCGGAACCUCCGCAAUACACGAAAGUGUGACGGGGUUACCCAAAGUGUUCAAUAGAACUGUGGUAGGUGAGUAAUGUCCCCUACUAGAAAGGAGAGGGCAAGGCUGGUGCCAGCCGCCGCGGUAAAACCAGCUCUUCAAGUGGUCGGGAUAAUUAUUGGGCUUAAAGUGUCCGUAGCCGGUUUAGUAAGUUCCUGGUAAAAUCGGGUAGCUUAACUUCUGCAUGCUAGGAAUCUGCUAUACUAGAGGGCGGGAGAGGUCUGAGGUCUCAGGGGUAGGGGUGAAAUCUUAUAUCCUUGUAGGACCCCAGUGGCGAAGGCGCAGACUGGACCCGCUGACGGUGAGGACAAAGCCAGGGAGCAACCCGAUUAAAUCCCGGUAGUCUGGCCUAACCAUCUACUAGGUGAUGGACGGCAUAACCCUAUCAUGCCUAAAAACCCUUAG
rnacentral:rRNA from 1 species